rnacentral:rRNA from 1 species
CCGACGGUGAGGGAUGAAAGCUAGGGGCACGAACCGGAUUAGAUACCCGGGUAGUCCUAGCCGUAAACGAUACUCGCUAGGUGUCGGCAACGGUGCGACCGUUGUCGGUGCCGUAGGGAAGCCGUGAAGCGAGCCACCUGGGAAGUACGGCCGCAAGGCUGAAACUUAAAGGAAUUGGCGGGGGAGCACCACAACGGGUGGAGCUUGCGGUUUAAUUGGAUUCAACGCCGGAAAUCUUACCGGGACCGACAGCAAUAUGAAGGCCAGGCUGAAGACUUUGCCGGAUUAGCUGAGAGGUGGUGCAUGGCCGUCGUCAGUUCGUACUGUGAAGCAUCCUGUUAAGUCAGGCAACGAGCGAGACCCACGCCCACAGUUGCC